rnacentral:rRNA from 1 species
AAUUUAGCGGCCGCGAAUUCGCCCUUUCCGUAGGUGAACCUGCGGAAGGAUCAUUA